rnacentral:rRNA from 1 species
CGAACGAUGAUGCCCAGCUUGCUGGGUGGAUUAGUGGCGAACGGGUGAGUAACACGUGAGUAACCUGCCCUUGACUCUGGGAUAAGCCUGGGAAACUGGGUCUAAUACCGGAUAUGACCUUCCAUCGCAUGGUGGUUGGUGGAAAGCUUUUGUGGUUUUGGAUGGACUCGCGGCCUAUCAGCUUGUUGGUGAGGUAAUGGCUUACCAAGGCGACGACGGGUAGCCGGCCUGAGAGGGUGACCGGCCACACUGGGACUGAGACACGGCCCAGACUCCUACGGGAGGCAGCAGUGGGGAAUAUUGCACAAUGGGCGCAAGCCUGAUGCAGCGACGCCGCGUGAGGGAUGACGGCCUUCGGGUUGUAAACCUCUUUCAGUAGGGAAGAAGCGUAAGUGACGGUACCUGCAGAAGAAGCGCCGGCUAACUACGUGCCAGCAGCCGCGGUAAUACGUAGGGCGCAAGCGUUAUCCGGAAUUAUUGGGCGUAAAGAGCUCGUAGGCGGUUUGUCGCGUCUGCCGUGAAAGUCCGGGGCUCAACUCCGGAUCUGCGGUGGGUACGGGCAGACUAGAGUGAUGUAGGGGAGACUGGAAUUCCUGGUGUAGCGGUGAAAUGCGCAGAUAUCAGGAGGAACACCGAUGGCGAAGGCAGGUCUCUGGGCAUUAACUGACGCUGAGGAGCGAAAGCAUGGGGAGCGAACAGGAUUAGAUACCCUGGUAGUCCAUGCCGUAAACGUUGGGCACUAGGUGUGGGGGACAUUCCACGUUUUCCGCGCCGUAGCUAACGCAUUAAGUGCCCCGCCUGGGAGUAC